rnacentral:rRNA from 1 species
UACGUAGGGGCCUAGCGUUGUCCGGAUUUAUUGGGCGUAAAGAGCUUGUAGGCGGUCUGUCGCGUCUGCUGUGAAAAUCCGGGGCUCAACCCCGGACUUGCAGUGGGUACGGGCAGACUAGAGUGUGGUAGGGGAGACUGGAAUUCCUGGUGUAGCGGUGAAAUGCGCAGAUAUCAGGAGGAACACCGAUGGCGAAGGCAGGUCUCUGGGCCACUACUGACGCUGAGAAGCGAAAGCAUGGGGAGCGAACAGG